CUGGGUUGCUUCUGCUGGACGUCGGAUUGUUUGGGGUGAAAGAGGUGGUCGACGGACGUGAAGGAGGAUGAGGCUAGACGUCAUCGUGCGACUGGGCUGUUGUCAACGGGCAGUGGGUAUCGAAAGAGAAGCAGUUUUUUUGGUUUGGGGAUGAAAAGGGUUGCUUGUUAAGUUUUUGUAACUGUGAGGAAAAUAAGUCCUCCCCUUAGUCUUCAGUGUUCAUGUAGGGUCGUUUGGACAUGAAUGGCAGAGGGUUUGGACAUGAGGUGGUCGACCAUGGCUGCUCCAUGAGGGUGUGACGUGGGGGAGAUGGGGAAGGUUGCUGGUUCACGUCGUAGGUCGUUUGGUCGAGCUGUGACGACGAGCUGGAUGGGGUUAUGUGAGGGAGGGGCUGUUUGGCGAGGUCGACGAUAGUAGGGUUGUUUGGUCAAGCUGUGACGAUGAGGAGGGGGGCAGCCAUGGUUGGAGGUGGAAGGGUGGUGGUUUUUGGGGUGUUUUAGGGUUUGAGGGGGGUGUGUUUGGAGAAGAUGAAGAGGAGGGGGUGGGGUGUUAGGUGUGACGGCUAGAGGAGAAGAGAGUGUGUUUAGGGUUUGGG
rnacentral:lncRNA from 1 species